GCGCUCGCGCGCCGCAUCGCACCCUUCGGGUGCUGGCGCUCCGCGAGGGCGCGGCACGAGCCGCGACGGCCGGUCGGCCUUGCGAGACGUGCGUCUCGUUGGCGAAAGCCGAUUUAAGGCGCAGUCUAAGGGCUUGUAGCUCAGUUGGUUAGAGCGCGCGCUUGAUAAGCGUGAGGUCGGAGGUUCAAGUCCUCCCAGGCCCACCAAUUCGCAAUCCGCAAGGAUUGUCGAUCUCCUCUACAAGGUAUCAGGGGCCGUAGCUCAGCUGGGAGAGCGCCUGCUUUGCAAGCAGGAUGUCGUCGGUUCGAUCCCGUCCGGCUCCACCAACCAUCUUUUUGUGAAGAUGGGGCGUGUCGAGUAGAGAUGGUCGCCGGUGGUCAGUCAUUCGAAAAUGAGUUUGCGUCGAGCCUCGUGCUCUGCGCCUGUUCUGUUUGACAUCGUAAAGAGAAGAUUUGUUCGAACUUCAUGGGUCCCGAAAGGGCCAUGAUUUGUCGCAAGGGACGCUCAAUCCCUUGCAUAUGAUGGGUUUGCCUAACCGCGCCCUCGAACCGAUCUCGAGAAGCUGGUCUUUUUGUGCCAAU
rnacentral:tRNA from 1 species